AUUGAACGCUGGCGGCAUGCCUUACACAUGCAAGUCGAACGGCAGCACGGGAGCAAUCCUGUGGCGAGUGGCGAACGGGUGAGUAAUAUAUCGGAACGUGCCCAGUUGUGGGGGAUAACGUAGCGAAAGCUACGCUAAUACCGCAUACGAUCUAUGGAUGAAAGCGGGGGAUAGCAAGACCUCGCGCGCUUGGAGCGGCCGAUAUCUGAUUAGGUAGUUGGUGAGGUGAAGGCUCACCAAGCCGACGAUCUGUAGCUGGUCUGAGAGGACGACCAGCCACACUGGGACUGAGACACGGCCCAGACUCCUACGGGAGGCAGCAGUGGGGAAUUUUGGACAAUGGGCGCAGGCCUGAUCCAGCAAUGCCGCGUGCAGGAUGAAGGCCUUCGGGUUGUAAACUGCUUUUGUACGGAGCGAAAAGGCUUCCACUAAUACUGGGGGCUCAUGACGGUACCGUAAGAAUAAGCACCGGCUAACUACGUGCCAGCAGCCGCGGUAA
rnacentral:rRNA from 1 species